rnacentral:rRNA from 1 species
UACGUAGGGUGCAAGCGUUAUCCGGAUUUAUUGGGCGUAAAGGGCUCGUAGGCGGUUCGUCGCGUCCGGUGUGAAAGUCCAUCGCUUAACGGUGGAUCCGCGCCGGGUACGGGCGGGCUUGAGUGCGGUAGGGGAGACUGGAAUUCCCGGUGUAGCGGUGAAAUGCAUAGAUAUCGCGCAGAACCCCGAUUGCGAAGGCAGCCUGCCGGCCCCACACUGACGCUGAGGCACGAAAGCGUGGGUAUCGAACAGG